AAAGGGAGACCUAAUUCAGGUAAAAGAUGAAAAAAAAGUAGUCGCUACCAAGAAUCAAUCCCAAAAGGUCGGAGCGAGGCGAAAUUGGCUUUCAAACUAGGUUCUGGGUUCAAACAAGACCUGAAUCAGGAACAAGGGCUAUUAGCUCAGGUGGUUAGAGCGCACCCCUGAUAAGGGUGAGGUCCCUGGUUCGAGUCCAGGAUGGCCCACCUGCACAGGUGGCAAAAACAAGAGAAGCGAGGAAUCAGCACCUUAUCUUACUUAUAUAGUAAGAGAGAAUGCUGGCUCUGAGUAAAGAGUCCAGAGGAACCUUGAAAACUGCAUAGAGCUAGGUGAAAAAGCCAAAAAAGAAGACCGCAAG
rnacentral:tRNA from 1 species